GGUGUGACUGCGUACCUUUUGUAUAAUGGGUCAGCGACUUAUAUUCUGUAGCAAGGUUAACCGUAUAGGGGAGCCGCAGGGAAACCGAGUCUUAACUGGGCGUUAAGUUGCAGGGUAUAGACCCGAAACCCGGUGAUCUAGCCAUGGGCAGGUUGAAGGUUGGGUAACACUAACUGGAGGACCGAACCGACUAAUGUUGAAAAAUUAGCGGAUGACUUGUGGCUGGGGGUGAAAGGCCAAUCAAACCGGGAGAUAGCUGGUUCUCCCCGAAAGCUAUUUAGGUAGCGCCUCGUGAAUUCAUCUUCGGGGGUAGAGCACUGUUUCGGCUAGGGGGUCAUCCCGACUUACCAACCCGAUGCAAACUACGAAUACCGAAGAAUGUUAUCACGGGAGACACACGGCGGGUGCUAACGUCCGUCGUGAAGAGGGAAACAACCCAGACCGCCAGCUAAGGUCCCAAAGUCAUGGUUAAGUGGGAAACGAUGUGGGAAGGCACAGACAGCCAGGAUGUUGGCUUAGAAGCAGCCAUCAUUUAAAGAAAGCGUAAUAGCUCACUGGUCGAGUCGGCCUGCGCGGAAGAUGUAACGGGGCUAAACCAUGCACCGAAGCUGCGGCAGCGACACGAUGUGUUGUUGGGUAGGGGAGCGUUCUGUAAGCCUGCGAAGGUGGCCUGUGAGGGUUGCUGGAGGUAUCAGAAGUGCGAAUGCUGACAUAAGUAACGAUAAAGCGGGUGAAAAGCCCGCUCGCCGGAAGACCAAGGGUUCCUGUCCAACGUUAAUCGGGGCAGGGUGAGUCGACCCCUAAGGCGAGGCCGAAAGGCGUAGUCGAUGGGAAACAGGUUAAUAUUCCUGUACUUGGUGUUACUGCGAAGGGGGGACGGAGAAGGCUAUGUUAGCCGGGCGACGGUUGUCCCGGUUUAAGCAUGUAGGCUGGUUAUCCAGGCA
rnacentral:rRNA from 1 species